CACGAAGGGGGCUAGCGUUGCUCGGAAUCAUUGGGCGUAAAGGGUGCGUAGGCGGCGGGGAAAGUCUGAUGUGAAAUCCUGGGGCUCAACCCUGGAACUGCAUUGGAUACUUCCUUGCUAGAGUACUGGAGAGGAAACUGGAAUUUACGGUGUAGCAGUGAAAUGCGUAGAGAUCGUAAGGAAGACCAGUGGCGAAGGCGAGUUUCUGGACAGUUACUGACGCUGAGGCACGAAGGCCAGGGGAGCAAACGGG
rnacentral:rRNA from 1 species